rnacentral:rRNA from 1 species
UACGAAGGGUGCUAGCGUUGUUCGGAAUUACUGGGCGUAAAGCGCGCGUAGGCGGUUUAACAAGUCAGAGGUGAAAGCCCUGGGCUCAACCCAGGAAUUGCCUUUGAAACUGUUAGACUUGAGUGUCGGAGGGGAUAGCGGAAUUGCUAAUGUAGAGGUGAAAUUCGUAGAUAUUAGCAGGAACACCGGUGGCGAAGGCGGCUAUCUGGACGACAACUGACGCUGAGGCGCGAAAGCGUGGGGAGCGAACAGG